AGUUAUAUGCUUGUCUCAAAGAUUAAGCCAUGCAUGUCUAAGUACAAGCGAAAAUAAAGUGAAACCGCAAAAGGCUCAUUAUAUCAGUUAUGGUUCCUUAGAUCGUAUCCACAAUUACUUGGAUAACUGUGGUAAUUCUAGAGCUAAUACAUGCAAUUAAAGAGAAACCAGUUAAAUGGGAUCUCUGCUUUUAUUAGAUUUAAACCAAUGGGGUACGUUUCGGCGUUCUCAAAAUAAAAAAUGGUUGAACUCUGGAUAAUUUGUUGAUCGCAUGGUCUUGUACCGGCGACGGAUCUUUCAAAUGUCUGCCCUAUCAACUAUUGAAGGUAGUGUCUUGGACUACCUUGGUUGCAACGGGUAACGGGGAAUCAGGGUUCGAUUCCGGAGAGGGAGCCUGAGAAACGGCUACCACAUCUAAGGAAGGCAGCAGGCGCGUAAAUUACCCACUCCCGGCACGGGGAGGUAGUGACGAAAAAUAACAAUACAAGACUCACAUCCGAGGCCUUGUAAUUGGAAUGAGUACACUUUAAAUCCUUUAGCAAAAAUCCAUUGGAGGGCAAGUCUGGUGCCAGCAGCCGCGGUAAUUCCAGCUCCAAUAGCGUAUAUUAAAGUUGUUGCGGUUAAAACGUUCGUAGUUGAACUUGUGUUUCGCACGGGCAGUGCCUAGGACUAGUUUACUAGGACGGUACUUGUCUUAUCUUUCUCUGUCUUUAAUCGGGCUUGGAAAAAGUGCGUGAACGUAUUAUCGGCGUGUUCGUGGCGCACAACGCGCGCUCGUGCAUUGCGUUCGCAUCACGCGAACGUUGGUGUCGCGUGCGUGCUUGUGCGUUCCGUUCGCAUAAGCCCAUUUCAGUGCUCUUCACCGAGUGUUGUUGUGGGCCGAUACAAAUUACUUUGAACAAAUUAGAGUGCUUAAAGCAGGCUUGCAAUGCCUGAAUAUUUUGUGCAUGGAAUAAUGGAAUAGGACAUCUGUUCUACUUUCAUUGGUUUUUUAGACCAAGAUGUAAUGAUUAAUGGAAGCAGUUGGGGGCAUUAGUAUUACAACGCGAGAGGUGAAAUUCUUAGACCGUUGUAAGACUGACUAAAGCGAAAGCAUUUGCCAAAGAUGUUUUCAUUUAAUCAAGAACGAAAGUUAGAGGUUCGAAGGCGAUC
rnacentral:rRNA from 1 species